GGACUGGUUAGCUCAAUGGGUUGAGUGUGGUGUUGACAGCAAUGACCACACCAAGGUCGCGGGUUUGAUUCCUGCUCGGUCCC
rnacentral:tRNA from 1 species